rnacentral:lncRNA from 1 species
GUCGGCUACAAAAGACCAUGACAUAAACAAUAUAUGAAACAAUUUAAUUUAGAAAAAUUAACGACCUAAUUUAUAACAAAACAAAUUAAAAAUGUUAAAAGUGCAGCCCGUAUUGAAAACAUGGAAAUUUGCCAUGAACCCAGACUUGGGACGCUAAAAUUCUUCUCCAAAUCGUAUAAGAUCAGGCCCUGAAGUCAUAAAAAAAUUUCUCAGUGCCCGGAGAAAAAAAAUCGUGGUCGAAAAUUGAAAUCCAGCAUUUUGAUUGGUUGAUUUGUUGAUUUUGGAGUUUGAGUAAAUAACUGACUCGAAAGUUUAAUGACUUCAAGGCCAGUUUUCAAGUAGGUAAAUCAAACAUUGUUCCAUUUUUUUCUUUCAUUUUUCUCCCUGUAUAAUAUAAACCUUGUAUAAUUAACGUUAUACCACCUUUAGCAAUGCAUGUACACUGAUUCACAUUAUGUCAUGGUUGACCUAUGUUUAAUC